rnacentral:rRNA from 1 species
GACGAACGCUGGCGGCGUGCUUAACACAUGCAAGUCGAACGGAAAGGCCCCUUUGGGGGUACUCGAGUGGCGAACGGGUGCGUAACACGUGAGUAACCUGCCCUUGACUUCGGGAUAACUUCAGGAAACUGGGGCUAAUACCGGAUAGGAAUCCUUGCUGCAUGGUGGGGGUUGGAAAGCUUCGGCGGUUUUGGAUGGACUCGCGGCUUAUCAGCUUGUUGGUGGGGUAGUGGCUUACCAAGGCUUUGACGGGUAGCCGGCCUGAGAGGGCGACCGGCCACAUUGGGACUGAGAUACGGCCCAGACGCCUACGGGAGGCAGCAGUGGGGAAGAUUGCACAAUGGGCGGAAGCCUGAUGCAGCAACGCCGCGUGCGGGAUGACGGCCUUCGGGUUGUAAACCGCUUUCAGCAGGGGCGAAGCUUGUGGUGACGGUACCUGCAGAAGAAGCACCGGCUAACUACGUG